rnacentral:rRNA from 1 species
UACGUAGGGGGCGAGCGUUGUCCGGAUUUAUUGGGCGUAAAGGGCGCGUAGGCGGCUUGGCAAGUCGGAUGUGAAAUCUCGGAGCUUAACUCCGAAACUGCAUUCGAUACUGCCGUGCUUGAGGACUGGAGAGGAGACUGGAAUUUACGGUGUAGCGGUGAAAUGCGUAGAUAUCGUAAGGAAGACCAGUGGCGAAGGCGGGUCUCUGGACAGUUCCUGACGCUGAGGCACGAAGGCCAGGGGAGCAAACGGG